AUUUAUAUAGUAUAAUAAUUACAUUUAAUUUCCAUUUAAAAAAUUUUUAAUAAAUAUAAAUA
rnacentral:tRNA from 1 species